rnacentral:lncRNA from 1 species
AUCAUCUAUAUGGAUAAUUAUAUAAGAAGGACUUUUGAUUUCUUUAUUACUUGUGCACCUCUUUUGUCAUUGGAAAACAAGUGAAAGAUAAUGAUAUACUCGUAAAGAUAAUGUGCCCCUCUUUUCUGAAUAGUUUUGUCUGCAAGGAUAUUAUAUUCUGCUAAUAAGAUGAAUAUAUUGCUAAACAUUCAUAAUCUCCGAGAUAAGGUGUUAAAAACUCCAUUAAUAUGGACAAAAAUAACUGUCUGAAUGGUUUUGAAGGGAGUUCAAGCUUUAAAUAGCGUGCAAGUAGUUUGUCAAACAUCAGUUUCUUCGGCUUUACAAAUGACUCGCAAGACGAACAAUGAGGUUUCUACAACGGACUUGAAGUUUUUUAUUUCUACUGAUAAUUAGUACAUUAAUUUCUGUAUAAAAUGUAUCAUUAUACUUUGUAUUUAGGUUUUUUAAUUAACAUAUUUUAAUCCAUUUGUAAUAUUUAAUACUAAUAACUUCUAUAUCAUAUCGUUUGUCAUCAUUAAUUUGUUUGAUUUUUUUGUGUAUAACUUGUAUUAAAAUUUCUUAUUAAUAUUUA